AGGACUGAUAUCAAGCCAGUGAGUGAUGGCACCAAAGGAGUUGGAAAGAGAUUCAGAAAUCUCUCAGAAGAUGGGAGCUCCAAGCAAAAUUUCCCGAAUGGAUUACAAUGCAGAUAACUGGCCCACAGAGAUACAAGGCUCAGCUAAGCAUAAGGGACUACAUUUGAUCCGAGGAAAUCAGUUUACGGUUCAUCUAACAGGUGUGUCCAACCUGUGGCCCAUGGCCCCAUGUGUCUGAGGAUAGUUGUGAAUAUAGCCCAACACAUUUGUAGAUGACAGCGUUGUGUUGCAACGUCCAAACAGUCAACACCCCUGA